rnacentral:misc_RNA from 1 species
AACGGUCUAUACCUGCGGUACCUGCGGAAGGAUCAUUAUCGAGUUUUGAAGUGGGCUGCUUGAGCUGGCACGCAGGUGCUCGGCGGCUCCGCUCUCAUCCACUCAACCCCUGUGCACCUUGAACGAGUGUGGGUCUAGUCUAGUAUUGGAUCGCCUCGUUUCUUACAAACUCUUAUUAUUGUUUUUGUAAUGCAUUGCCUCUUUGUGGGCGAAAUGUUAAUACAACUUUUAACAACGGAU